CAUCCGCUUCCUCUCCGCUCCCCAUCACCGCCUCCACCGCCCUCUUCACCGCCUCAGCACUCACAACCGUCCUCUCUUCCUCUUUGGUGCAACACAUCUUUGAUCCAACCGCUACCCCAACCUGCAACACCUCGGUAAUCAGCUUCUCAUUGGUGAACUGCUCAGCAAAUAGUGGCCAUGUUAUCAUCGGCACUCCGGCGCUGGCUCCUUCUAUGCAAGAGUUCCAACCACAAUGUGUCAUAAAGCCACCAAUUGAUGUAUGGUUCAGGAUUAGUAUCUGUGGCACCCAACCCUUUAUGAUCAACCCCUUCCCGACCACCCUCUCCUCGAACCCCUCUGGUAGGGG
rnacentral:misc_RNA from 1 species